UCUACUCUCACAUAGUAUCAACCUAAUACAUUCCUAAAACCAAAAUCCCUAAAUUAUUCUUAUCUCUUGCCGAUCGACCCCUUCCCUCACAUGAUGUCUUCUACUGAUUCUUUCUCCCUCAAAACCCUCAUUCACAUGCUUACAAUCAAGUUAACCUCCUCCAACUAUCUUCUCUGGAAGAAUCAAGUUACUCCACUGCUGCUUCAUCAAAAAUGGAUGAACCAUGUUGAUGGCUCUGUCGCUACCCCUCCACAUACAAUCCAAACCGAUGGCAAGACCAUAAGUCCAGCCUAUGUUGUCUGGAUUAAACUCAACCGAAAGGUCCUUAUUCUUCAAUCUUCUCUGUCUGAAGAAGCAAUGGCAAAAGUCUUAGUAAUUAGGCAACCGAUCACUGGUAUUGACAAGAUCCACUGGUUCUUAUGCGGGUUAGAGUUGUCCUUUGAAACUUUCUCUAUUGCCCAAUGAGCCACAACUCCAUGACCUUCCUUUCGUGGCCUCGUUGCUCAGGUUGAAGGUCACGAGUUAUUUGUCUCUUCUCUCCAUGAAUCAACCCCAUCUCCUGCUGCCAUCACUGCUAAUCCCUCUCGUGAAAGAGGCAUGUCUGAACGAUCCUCUUAUCAUGGAAACUCUUCUUUUAGGGGUUGUGGAUGUCGACCACUACACUGUCAGUUAUGUCGCCAUGAUGGUCAUUAUGCUAGUUCAUGUCCAGACUUAAGCAGAUUUGCUCAAAAGUCCUUUUACUCCAUUGCAAAUCUUGUUCAAGCCUUCAAUAUUGAUUGCAAUAUAAAUGACUCCACUCCAAAUUGGUGUGUGGAUACCAACACAACAGAUCAUAUGGCCCCAUAUUCAACCGAUUUUGACUCAUCCGCUCCUUAUCAUGGCAAAGACAAAGUUGCGUUUGGAAAUAGUAAGGACAUAAUCAACAAAAUAAUUCUCGCAACAUGAACGCAUAAGGAUGGUCUCUACAUUUUCAAUCUCGUCUCUCAAGCUUUGGCAGCAUUAGUGAUUUCUCCUACUAAAGCUUCUUUUGAAUUAUGGCAUAAAAGACUUGAUCAUGUUGCUUAUGAUGUUAUUAUUCUUAAUAACCACAGAUAUUUGCAUGUUACUUCUAUUCUACCAAGUCCUAAUCUAUGUUCUUCUUGUGAACUUUCAAAGCAACAUCACUUACCUUUUCAACUGAAUGAUAAAAAAUCCUUACAUGUUCUUGAUUCGGUAUAUUAUGAUUUAUGGGGACCAACACCAGUCAAUUCUACUGAUGAAUAUCGCUACUAUGCUUUGUAUAUUGAUGACUACUCGCGAUUCGCUUGGUUUUACCCACUCAAAACCAAAACUGAUUUCUAUGAUGUGUUAGAAAAUUUUAUAACAUUCACGCAAACAUAGUUUGCUUGCAAACUAAAGGUUUUUCAAAGUGACAGGGGGACUGAAUGUCUAAAUAAUUGAGUGUGAAAAUUAUUUCAUGAUAAUGGUACUCACCAUCAAAUUUCUUGUCCCUACAUUCCACCGCAAAAUGAACGAGUAGAAAGAAAACAUCGUCAUUUAACCGAAACGGGACAUGCAAUGUUAUUUGGUGUCAAUGCUCCUGCAACUUUUUGGUUUGAUGCAUUCUCUUCUGCAACUUAUGUCAUUAAUCGCCUACCCAUAAAGUUAUUACAAAACAAAUCCCCAUUUGAAUUUUUUUUAAUGUCACACCCAACUACAACAAUUUCAAAGCCUUUGGAUGUCGGGUCUUUCCUUAUCUACGACCCUACGCAGAGCACAAACUUGCACCA